CAAUUCUCUAUGUGUGUGUAACCGAAGAAGGCGAUAAUCUCAAAGCUGUUUGUUUUGAUGUUUUAGUGAAAAUUGAAUUUCCCAAAUGAGUUCUAAGGAGAAGUAUAUGAGGAACAAUCGAAGAUCAAGAUCGGGUAGAACCGAUCAUGAUUAUAAUAGCCAAAGCAGUAGUAACCGUAACCGUAACCGUAGUUCUUUAGAUUUUUCUGGAAUUUCUGAAUCUGGGGUUCGUCAAUUGAAUGCUGAGAGUGAAACAGCUCAACAGUCCAACCCGAUUAAUGUUGGGUCGGAUGGGGAUUCGGGGUCAGGUUCUGGGGUUGAUGAGGGUGGGUUGAAUAUAUGUACUGAGGAUCAAUUGGAAGCUAUCUUGUUGCAAAAAUUGGAGGUUUUGUAUGGUGAGGCUAUUGCUAAGAUUACGAAGUUGGGUUAUGGUGAGGAGGGUGUUAUGAAAGCUAUGUUGAAAAAUGGUCAUUGUUAUGGUGGGAUGGAUGUUUUGACUAAUAUUUUACAUAACGCGCUGUCGUAUUUGAAUAAUGGGUAUGUAAAUAGCGGGAGUUCUUCGAGUGGGGAUGAAUCAGACCAAUCUUUUGUUGAUUUAAGACAGUUAGUGGAGUAUUCGUUAGCGGGUCUGAUUUGCUUGUUGCAACAAAUGAAACCACAUUUAAGUAAAGCGGAUGCGAUGUGGUGCUUGUUGGUUAGUGAUCUUCAUGUGGGUAGGGCGAGUGUGAUGGAAAUUCCUGAUGGGAGUGGUCGUACUACUGGGUCGCUGAGUGGUGGUGGUACUAGUACUAAUGUGGAGGGUGUUGCUACUGGUCCUAUUGGGGUUGUGCCUGCGAUGUGUAGGUUUCAUGGGGGCUGGGGUUUUGGGAAUAGCACUGGUAAUGCAUAUCCGUUAAAUAAGUCUUCUGCAAUUACCUCUGAUUCUACUCCAUAUAAAGAGAUUGAUUGUCCUAAGAGGUUUAACCUUACUCCGUCAAUGAGAACCUUGCUAAAGAGGAAUGUAGCUGCGUUUACGGCUGGACUUAGGUCAAACCCUAAGUAUAUGCAGAGCCAGUCCCGGGUUUCCUCUAGUUCCCUGACUGAUGGGGAUCAAUCAAGUGGGCUUGCUCAGUCGGGUGUCUCACAAACUUCGAAAAGCCAAGAUGUUAACUGUGUGGUAGGUAAAUUUCAAGAUUUGAAUCUUGAUGAAAAUACACAGCAGCAGAGCAAGGGCAAUGAAGAUCUGGACCAGAAAGAUGAGAUGCUACUAAGUCUGCUCGAUCAGAUAAAGGAUCUUGAGAAACAGGUCAAGGAAAGGAAAGAUUGGGCGCACCAAAAAGCUAUGCAGGCUGCUAGGAAGCUUAGCAAUGACUUGACAGAGCUGAAAAUGUUGAGGAUGGAGAAGGAGGAUAUCCAGAGAAUGAAGAAAGGCAAACCUGCUGUAGAAGAUGCUACCAUGAAGAAAUUAUCAGAAAUGGAGACUAGUUUAAGAACAGCAAGCGCGAAUGUUGAUCGGUCAAACAUGUUUGUGAAAAAACUUCAGGAGGAUAACGCAGAAAUGAAGGCGGAGCUGGAGGCCCAGAAGCUAAGCGCUUCGGAAUCUGCGAAAAAAUGCGCGGAAGCUGCAAAAAGGGAGAAAAAGUGCUUGAAGAAGCUUGCUGUUUGGGACAAAAAGAAAAAGAAGCUUCAGGAGGAAAUUGCAGCUGAGAAACAAAAUAUUUCAGACAUGCAAAACCAGCUGGCUCAGUCAGAGGUAGCUAUAAAAGAUGCUGAGGUCAAAUGGAGGCUGGAACAGAAGGCUAGGCAGCAAGCAUCUGCACUAGUGGAUGAAGAACGACGUUUGAAAGAAGCAGUCGAGGCUAACAACAAAAGGAAGCUUGAGGAAUUGCGCUCAAAGGCAGAAAUAGACUUCCAGCGGCACAAGGAUGACUUGCAAAGGCUUGAACAGGAUCUUUCUCGGCUUAAAGCAUCUACUGAGCUGCAGAAUCAGUCAGCUAAUGUAGUAACAGGUUCUAACGUGGAACAGCACCCGCAUGGAGAUAUUGCAAGGAUGUUACGUGAGUUAGAUAAUUCCCAGGAGUAUUCUCCCGUGAAGGAAGACUCUAGGGAGUGUAUCAUAUGCAUGAAGCAUGAAGUUUCAGUUGUUUUCCUACCUUGUGCUCAUCAGGUUCUGUGUUCCAGCUGCAACGACAACUUUGGAAAGAAGGGAAGAGUUUCUAAAUGUCCAUGCUGCAGGGCUCCAAUUGAACGGAGGAUCCGUGUCUUUGGUGCAACAUCCUAAGCCUUCAUCCCAGCUUUUAUCAUGGCAUGCUCGUAAACUGUCGGUUAGACUAUAAAACAAUGUUUUAUUUCCUGCAUUAUCUUAAAACUUAUGCUAGUAGACUAUGCUAUCUUCAAACUUAUGCUCAUAGAAGAUAUACUAAGUAAGCAGCUCAUUGUGUUGUAAUGGGUACUCUUUAAACAGGCUUUUCUGAAAAUGUUUUUU
rnacentral:misc_RNA from 1 species